ensembl:lncRNA
CCCGGACGCGAUAUGUGGCUGCACCGUAACGGUCUCAACAUCUUCAACCUCAAAACCGUGAAAAAACAAACAAAGAAAAACAUGUUUUGCUGGACGAGCAGCAGCGUGGGCUCGGAGCCGCUCGACGGCGUCGCUAACAUGUCUAAGAGCGACAUACUGAGAGGAAUCAUCACUGAGAAACUGAGCACAGCCGCCCGGGAGAUCUUAGCGGUGGUGGAGAGGACGAUAGCUGACUACGAGGAGGAGGUCGCGGGCUUCAGACAGGAGAUCGACCGGCAGAGGAGACUGCUGGAGCUUCUGCAGCCUCGGGUCAAGCUUGAGAGAAGAGUUUGAAACGAAGAGGCCCAGCAAAGCUCUGACUGGAGGCACGCAGACCCUUCCAAAUUUCCGGAUCCGCAUCCUGGAGGAUUCCCAGACCGAAGUACUCUCUAACCUUGUGUUUAAGAAAUGUCCGGUGCAGGAUCUGAGGUGUCCUCCUGGUCUACAGGAGGACGACUUCCUGGAGCUGCUGAGGUCCGCCUUCCCUCAGCUAGGCUCUGAUGAACCUUUGGACUUUUUUACAUCCAGCACAAACAGGAGGCUCCAGCCUUUGCAAGUAGAGCCAAGGACCCCAGAGGUGAUCUACAAGGCCAUCAAGACUGCAGGAAGCUCGGCCCUCUACAUCAGACCGAAGAAACAAGAUGACAACUCCAGAUCCAACCCUGCAACACCAUCAGCUGAUGGAGCAAAAUAUAUCAAAAGGGUGAAAUACAAUGACGCAAAGACUCCUAUAGAUUUCCGGAUCCGCAUCCUUGAGGACUCUCAGAUUGACACGCUCUCGAACACUGUGUUUAAGAAAUGUCCGAUGCAGAAUCUGACGUGUCCUCGUGGUCUACAAGAGGACGACUUCCUGGAGCUGCUGAGGUCCACCUUCCCUCAGCUGGGUUCUGAUGAACCUUUGGACUUUCUCAUAUCAAGCUCACACAGAAAGCUCCAGCUGUUGCAAAUAGAGCCAAGAACUCCAGAGGUGAUCUACAACGCCAUCAAUGCUGUUGGAAACUCGGCCCUCUACAUUAGGCCAAAGACAGGGAAGGAGGAAGAGAAGACCCUUCACUCUUUACAGACAAAUGUCGACCCAGUGUCCAGUGAUGCCGAGGCACUAAGAAGUGUUAAAGCUAAACUGCUUUCCAGGUAAUUUAAAAAACUGAUAAAACAACUGAAAUUAAAGAGAUUUGCUACUGAUAUUCUUUUUACAAAGGCUUUUACAAAAACGUCUUCUGAAACAAUAAAAAAGAAAAUGAACAACAUGAAAAAAAAUCAGUUGUAGCCAGAUGACACCAUAACUUACUUUAUUAUUAUGCUUAAUUAAAUUAAUUAAUAUAAAGAAAUGCAUACGUCAUUUUACUAACAGGAGUCAACUGAAAACUAAAGAUGGCGAAAUCUGAGAAAAGAAAAUGGCUCUAGAAUUCGCAAUUUACAGUUUUACAG